GCUGGCGGAGGGAGGGGGACAAGAAAAGGAACAGCCGUCGACUCUCUGGCGGCGAAGUGGAGGGAGGGAGAGACCCGGCUGCCAAGGACUAAGACUCACCUCCCUUGGGUAAGCUAAGACGCUGUCAUGUGUGAGGAUCCUCAAGUUGCCCACAAGGGAUCCACUGAAGCUCCUGCCAAAAAGUACAUGAGAAACGCUGCGCUGGAUGAAGCACAAGCUUGAAUCAAGAUUGCAGGGAGAAA